GGGGGUGUAGCGCAGCUGGGAGCGCGCUUGACUGGCAGUCAAGAGGUCAGGGGUUCGAUCCCCCUCAUCUCCACCA
rnacentral:tRNA from 1 species